CUACGGGCGGCACCAGUGGGGAAUAUUGCACAAUGGGCGCAAGCCUGAUGCAGCCAUGCCGCGUGUAUGAAGAAGGCCUUCGGGUUGUAAAGUACUUUCAGCGGGGAGGAAGGGAGUAAAGUUAAUACCUUUGCUUAUUGACGUUACCCGCAGAAGAAGCACCGGCUAACUCCGUGCCAGCAGCCGCGGUAAUACGGAGGGUGCAAGCGUUAAUCGGAAUUACUGGGCGUAAAGCGCAUGCAGGCGGUUUGUUAAGUCAGAUGUGAAAUCCCCGGGCUCAACCUGGGAACUGCAUCUGAUACUGGCAAGCUUGAGUCUCGUAGAGGGGGGUAGAAUUCCAGGUGUAGCGGUGAAAUGCGUAGAGAUCUGGAGGAAUACCGGUGGCGAAGGCGGCCCCCUGGACGAAGACUGACGCUCAGGUGCGAAAGCGUGGGGAGCAAACAGGAUUAGAUACCCUAGUAGUC
rnacentral:rRNA from 1 species